GUGUGUGUGUGUGUGUGUGUGUGUGCCACGAAUAAUAGUUUUUGGGGUAGCCGCCUGGCACCACUGUCGGAAUUUUUCGUGCGGGGUUGAAGGCGUCACGUCGGGCCGCCGCCGAUAUAGUUUCGUGGACCGAUUUCAGUCUUGUGUGCGGUCGCGUGUCGUUCGUUUCGCGUUCCGAUCGUCUACCGCCCGACGCAAAUAUUGUAGUCCGUCGAACCUCUAACAUUGCACGGAUAUCACAACGUCAAUGAUAAUGAUAUAAUAUUUCGAGUGUUCCGUUUCAUUUGUCGUUAAACCGUUUAAGCGUUUCACAGUGAUAUUUCUGAUAGCCGAUUCUUGAAUGCUGACCACAUCGGUCCGGACUUGGGUAUAUUUUUUUGUUUUGACAUCGUGUUAGACGUUUACGGGUUAUCGGAAAUUGUCGGUUACAGUAAAAUUAACUAUAUAUAUAUAAAUGUGUAUUUUGACGAGAAAUAUUGAGGGUGUAUUUUUCAAGCGUUAUCGAAAUUCGUCGUCGUGAACUUUGGAUAAACUAUUCGUCAUCCAUAAAAUAAGUAGUUUGAACGAAUAUUAUGCUUAUGACGUUGGGUUCAUUGUUUCAACAAAAGAAAAGGUUAAGGAAAUAGUAUAAACCCUGAAAAAUCGAUACGUCUUAUCCUUUCCGGCCUUUGCCGUGGCGGUCGUGCAGUUGUUCCGGUCAAACGUUUCGUGUCGCAGACCCUACUCCAUCCACAUAUAGUAUUAUAUAUACUACAUUGUAUCCGCGUUUAUUUCUGACAGCGCUCGUGACGAGAUCGUUUCGCAGCGGUCACCCACGAUCAGAUCGGCCGUCGAAUGAACACGUUGGACGACGGUGACCGCGAAUCCAGUUCGCCACUGGACUUUGGCGUGGCGGACGUGAUAACGACCACUAUCGUGUACCUGACGUGCACCGUCGCGGUAUACGUGCUGUGCACAUUCGUCGAAGACGCCGUUGACGAACCGGCCGCGCAAACGCCAGACGGCACCGGCACACCAGCCGCGGCACCGCCGUCGGCGUCAGUAGCGUCGGAGACGUCAGUCGCGGGAACAGGAGCCAGUGGAUCCGCUACAGCGUCGCGUCCGCCACCGACGCACGCGCCUACUCAGUCGUGGCCGACGCCGCCGGACGCGGGCCAACCGCCGGCGGAAACGGGAGACACGGCGCAGGCAACGGUACCGGAAGACAUGGGACGCGAGAAACGCCGACGGUGAUCGGUGUCGCGGCCAA